UCUCUCAUUGGGCAGCGCUUCUUCCCUCUCUCCGCGCCUCUUUCUCUUCUCUCUUCGCUCUCUCCGUCUCUUUCUCUUCCCUCUCUAUGUCUCUUUCACUUUCAUUGCCUAAUUCAUUCGUCUAUCCAUAUAAAAUUAGAAAAAAAAUGUCUCAAAUACACCGUUCCAGUUAUUGGAAUUGAACGUGAUUUCAAACCCUUCCACAACAACCGCACUCUGCUCGGCAUGCGCUUCACCGCCCUCCAAGUUCGCCGCACCCACCCCUCCGUCGUCGCAACUCCCAUGCCUGAGCUUCACCGGACCAAGAGCGAUACUAGCUCCAUGCUCGACGCCACUGAAGCCGUGGCGCGCCACCAUCGAGCCAUGGAUGUAAGAGCCAACUCCGCCAUUUCAGGAUCCGAGGCUAGCAUUAAAAAGAAGAAGGGGAAGAAGAAGAAAACGAAAGCCAUGAAGAGUAGCUCGGUUGUGAGUAGCGUCAACGAAACGAACUUGAUUCUCGGCGACACCGUUUUGCCGAGAAGAAGUUAAUACAAAUUUUUUUUUGUAUGCAAUUAACUUUGGCAUUUCAGGAGCAUUUUAGAGCCCAUUUGUUUUAACUUUUUUCAUGAAAAAUCACUUUUAAAAUUUCUUAGUGUGUUUGUUUAGUUUUUUUAAAAAAUAAACUAAAAUUUAUCUAUAUGAUUAUUUUCAGAAGCUACUUUGAGUAUUAGCUGAAAAUAAGUAAAAAAUUAUUAAUACUUUUUUAUAAUAAAAAGUAUAUUUUAUAAUUAUUGUAAUGAUAAAAUAAAUUAUUAGUACUUUGAUAGGCUUGGCUUUCAAUUUUUCGAUUUUUCUGUCAAACUGAAAUAGUGUUCUUGUCACAUAUGAACUUGUGUAUAAGCUGCCUAUUUCAUAUCUUGAUUUUGAUAUUUCAUCAUCAAUAUUUGGUGCCACAGUGUGUAGCUUCGAGGGGCUAGUGAGUUCCAAAAUCUUAAUGCAUCUAACCAUCAAACAGAUAGUCAUGCAUGUGGAUGAAACAUCGUGAUUGUUUAUCACAUGCGUGCACAUUUUCUUUUUUAUUAGUUUGCUGCUCUUUUAGAUGGGGUCUGUACAUUCUGGUUUUAUCUAACCUUUUUUUUAUUGAUGGACUUUCAACAAGAACAGCUUCUUGGUGUUAUUUAAACUUAAAUAAAACAAUUUUAAAAUAAAUAUUUUUUUAAAAAGUAUUUAUAUUAUUAAGCAUAUAGAAGAAUUUUCUUCUUAAAACAAACAAAAAACUAUUUUUUAUGCAAUACUUUAGACAAACAUAUUGAGAAAACAAAGUUGCUUAUUUUAUUAACAUAAGUAUUUUUUUAAAAUAAGUUUAAACAAAUUGACUCUAAUCUCUUCUUCUCAUAUUCAAUUAACCAGCUUUUAACUAGCCAUUCAAGCUUUGUAUGCACCCUCAAGCAAGAUUUUAACUGGCAGGCACAAUGAGAUUGUGGAGAUUUCCAAAACCUUCAAUUCAUAUUAAUUGUGGAUAUCCAUUCAUUAGCUUGUAGGAGCCUCACAAGAUAAAAGUAAUCCUAUACGUGUUUUUCUUGUUCUUCCAGCCCUAUACAUGGUACCAUUCUGUAUGCCUUUAACUAGCUAGCACAUACUCAUGCAUGUGUAUAUGUUAUUAACUUGUAUUUGCACUAGGUUGUUAAUUUUCUGAUUAAGAUAAUAUGCUUUAAUUUCUCUCAAUUAAGCUUUGUAAUUAAAUAUACCAUUGAUUGCCCAGAUAAUAAUUUAGUAUGGUAGUUUUUUUUCUCCAAACAUAGAAAUCUAAUUAAUUAUAUGAUCUAUCUUGCAGCAAAUAGAUAAUUCACUUAUAUAUUUACCUUGUGUAUAUGAGUAGGCUAUCGUGAUGGAUGGCCAUUUGUAAAAGACAGAAUUGGAUGAAUACUUCUAUAUAUCUCUUUUUAAAGGUUUUUUUAUCCUAUGGAUAAAUGUUUGCAUUUCUAACCAAUUAAUUGUUGACAAGAGCAGACCAUAAACUGUAUUUAUAACGGGAGGAGGUGGAUGGUCUAGAGCAAGAGAGACACCAAGGCACCAAGUCCUUGAGAAAGUCAUAAUAUGUGAUAUCGAUAAGGUAUGAACUAGAGAUGUCUCCAAAGAAGUUUGAUGUGAUCCUUGGGGAUGUUCCAGAACCUGAUGAAUCAAAUUCAUCAAGUUGUGUCCAUCUCUACACAAAAUCCUUUUAUGAGAUUGUUGUCAAACCUGAAUGAUAGAUUCAGUUCAUAUGAAUUUUUAAGAUAAUUAUGAUUAUUAAAUACAUACUAAUAGUUGAAACUGGUUGACAAUGAUUCAGCAUAUAUUGUUAUUUGUGGUAAACCUAUUUAUUGUACUACUCCA